GCAUCUAAGCGGGAAGCCUGCCUUAAGAUAAGUUCUCCCUGACGCAAGUCCUGAAGGGCCGAGGUAGACGACCUCGUUGAUAGGCUGGAGGUGGAAGCCUUGUGAGGGGUGGAGCUGACCAGUACUAAUAGCCCGUGCGUCUUGUUUC
rnacentral:rRNA from 1 species